AGAUUGAACGCUGGCGGCAUGCCUUACACAUGCAAGUCGAACGGCAGCACGGGGGCAACCCUGGUGGCGAGUGGCGAACGGGUGAGUAAUGCAUCGGAACGUGCCCAGUAGUGGGGGAUAACUAGUCGAAAGAUUAGCUAAUACCGCAUACGACCUAUGGGUGAAAGCGGGGGAUUCGCAAGAACCUCGCGCUAUCGGAGCGGCCGAUGUCUGAUUAGCUAGUUGGCGGGUAAAAGCCCACCAAGGCUUCGAUCAGUAGCUGGUCUGAGAGGACGACCAGCCACACUGGGACUGAGACACGGCCCAGACUCCUACGGGAGCAGCAGUGGGAAUUUGGACAAGUGGGCGCAAGCCUGAUCCAGCCAUGCCGCGUGCGGGAGGAAGGCCUUCGGUUGUAACCGCGUUUGGCGAGGAACGAAACGGCGACGAGACGAA
rnacentral:rRNA from 1 species